rnacentral:rRNA from 1 species
AUGCAGUCGAGCGGUAAGGCCCUUCGGGGUACACGAGCGGCGAACGGGUGAGUAACACGUGAGCAACCUGCCCCUGACUCUGGGAUAAGCGGUGGAAACGCCGUCUAAUACCGGAUAUGACCUUUCGGUUCAUGCCGUUGGGUGGAAAGUUUUAUCGGUCAGGGAUGGGCUCGCGGCCUAUCAGCUUGUUGGUGGGGUAAAGGCCUACCAAGGCGAUUACGGGUAGCCGGCCUGAGAGGGCGACCGGCCACACUGGGACUGAGACACGGCCCAAACUCCUGCGGGAGGCAGCAGGGGGGAAUAUUGCGCAAUGGGCGAAAGCCUGACGCAGCGACGCCGGGUGGGGGAUGACGGCCUUCGGGUUGUAAACCUCUUUUACCACCAACGCAGGCUCCGGGUUUUCUCGGGGUUGACGGAAGGUGGGGAAUAAGGACCGGUUAACUACGUGCCAGCAGCCGCGGUAAUACGUAGGGUCCGAGCGUUGUCCGGAAUUAUUGGGCGUAAAGAGCUCGUAGGCGGCGUGUCGCGUCUGCUGUGAAAGACCGGGGCUUAACCCCGGUUCUGCAGUGCGAUACGGGCAUGCUAGAGGUAGGUAGGGGAGCACUGGAAUUCCUGGUGUAGCGCGUGAAAUGCGCACCAUCAUCAGGAGGCAACACCGGGUGACGGGAAGGCGGGUAUCUCUGGGGAUCUUACCUGUACGUCUGAUGCAGCAUAAAUGCAUGCUGGCAUGCAGAACACGGAU